GCGAACGCUGGCGGCAGGCUUAACACAUGCAAGUCGAGCGGGCAUCUUCGGAUGUCAGCGGCAGACGGGUGAGUAACACGUGGGAACGUACCCUUCGGUUCGGAACAACUCUGGGAAACUGGAGCUAAAACCGGAUACGCCCUUAUGGGGAAAGGUUUACUGCCGAAGGAUCGGCCCGCGUCUGAUUAGCUAGUUGGUGGGGUAACGGCCUACCAAGGCGACGAUCAGUAGCUGGUCUGAGAGGAUGAUCAGCCACACUGGGACUGAGACACGGCCCAGACUCCUACGGGAGGCAGCAGUGGGGAAUAUUGGACAAUGGGCGCAAGCCUGAUCCAGCCAUGCCGCGUGAGUGAUGAAGGCCUUAGGGUUGUAAAGCUCUUUUGUCCGGGACGAUAAUGACGGUACCGGAAGAAUAAGCCCCGGCUAACUUCGUG
rnacentral:rRNA from 1 species